GUCUAUGACCAAACGACCUCGAAUGCACCCGAUCUCGUUACAUCUCGGAAGCUAAGCAGGUGUUGUGCCUGGAUAGUGCCUGGUGGGGUGACCACCAUGCAUAACACGUGCUAUAUGGCU
rnacentral:rRNA from 1 species